GACGAACGCUUGCGGCGUGCCUAAGAAAUGCAAGUCGAGCGAGGUCAGGGAGCUUGCUCCCGAAGCCUAGCGGCGAACGGUCGCGUAACACGUAAGGAACCUGCCCUAAAGUUUGGGAUAGCCCGCCGAAAGGCGGAUUAAUACCGGAUGUGGACAACGAAACGCAUGUUUUGUUGUUUGAAGCAGCGAUGCGCUUUAGGAUGGUCUUGCGGCCUAUCAGCUAGUUGGUGUGGGUAACGGCCCACCAAGGCGACGACGGGUAGCUGGUCUGAGAGGAUGGUCAGCCGGACUGGGACUGAGAUACGGCCCAGACUCCUACGGGAGGCU
rnacentral:rRNA from 1 species